UACGAAGGGGGCUAGCGUUGCUCGGAAUCACUGGGCGUAAAGGGUGCGUAGGCGGGUCUUUAAGUCAGGGGUGAAAUCCUGGAGCUCAACUCCAGAACUGCCUUUAAUACUGAAGAUCUUGAGUUCGGGAGAGGUGAGUGGAACUGCGAGUGUAGAGGUGAAAUUCGUAGAUAUUCGCAAGGACACCAGUGGCGAAGGCGGCUCACUGGCCCGAUACUGACGCUGAGGCACGAAAGCGUGGGGAGCAAACAGG
rnacentral:rRNA from 1 species